AGUCACCAAACAGUUUGUCAAUCAACCCCAACACUGAGGCGUCAUUUGCUAGAUUUGAGCUACACUGACGUGGCCCCGUCCCCGCGGUUCCCUUCAGUGGGUCGUUGGCGACCCGCCCCUUCGCUCAGCAUUCUCAAAGGCGCACCCCUUGUGGAGUAAAUCAGCCCGACCAGAAAAGAAAGCAGUCCCACCGCCAGGCCCGUGGAUCCCAGGAUCAUCUUAAGUUUCUCGGACUCGGCCGACGGCUCUGGAAAUAGCAGCAGAACACGUUUAUGGAGUUUUCAGACUUUCGAGGAGUUUUUAGGAGAGUAGCGGAAAGACGGUUCGAGUCAGCGGCGAACUUGGCCCCCAAAAACUGUAUCCAACACGAUAUCUUUCUUUCCUUUCUAUUUCUUUCAUUAUAAUCUUAAUGAAGGUGUCGCACGAAAGCAAAGCGUGGAGAGUCUCUGCAGUGGAACAAAUACGAGUGCAGUCAACGGACCUCCUAACGUCUUUGACAAGCGAGCCGUGUUUUUGCGGUUCAACGAAAACUCAGCCAGUACUGAGCUUCAAAGUUUUUUUUUGCACUGGUUCCACUUGGGCCCCAAUCCUCACGCCUGCACUCGGGCGACACGCGG